UACUUAGGGGGCAAGCGUUGUCCGGAUUUACUGGGCGUAAAGAGCGUGUAGGCGGCCACGCAGGUCCGUUGUGAAAACUGGAGGCUCAACCUCCAGCUGUCGACGGAAACCGUAUGGCUAGAGUCCGGAAGAGGAGAGUGGAAUUCCUGGUGUAGCGGUGAAAUGCGCAGAUAUCAGGAAGAACACCAAUGGCGAAGGCAGCUCUCUGGGACGGUACUGACGCUGAGACGCGAAAGCGUGGGGAGCGAACAGG
rnacentral:rRNA from 1 species